CCUACGGGAGGCAGCAGUAGGGAAUCUUCCACAAUGGGCGAAAGCCUGAUGGAGCAACGCCGCGUGGGUGAAGAAGGUCUUCGGAUCGUGAAACCCUGUUGUUAGAGAAGAAAGUGCGUGAGAGUAACUGUUCACGUUUCGACGGUAUCUAACCAGAAAGCCACGACUAACUACGUGCCAGCAGCCGCGGUAAUACGUAGGUGGGAAGCGUUAUCCGGUUGUAUUGGGCGUAAAGGGAACGCAGGCGGUCUUUUAAGUCUGAUGUGAAAGCCUUCGGCUUAACCGGGGUAGUGCAUUGGAAACUGGGAGACUUGAGUGCAGAAGAGGAGAGUGGAACUCCAUGUGUAGCGGUGAAAUGCGUAGAUAUAUGGAAGAACACCAGUGGCGAAAGCGGCUCUCUGGUCUGUAACUGACGCUGAGGUUCGAAAGCGUGGGUAGCAAACAGGAUUAGAUACCCGGGUAGUC
rnacentral:rRNA from 1 species